rnacentral:lncRNA from 1 species
GCUCUGGGGCCACCAUGGUCACGCUGGGGCCACCCCAGCUGCACGGUGGCCACCAUGGCCGUUCUGGUGGUCCAUCCCUCCCCCCCCCGGCUCUGACCCCCCCUGUUUCCCCCCCAGGGUGAGCGCAAAGGCACCAACAAGUACUACCCCCCCGACUUCGACCCGGCCAAGGUGAGGGGGCAAAUGGGGGGCUACGGGGGCAACUGUGGGGCUGGGGGGGCAACUGUGGGGCUGGGGGGGUAACCGGGGGACUGGGGGGGCAACCGUGGGGCUGGCGGUGGCCACUGACCCCCCCUCUGCUUCCUGCCCCCCCCACCAGCAUGGCUCCCUCAACAAGUACCACGGUAGCCACCCGCUGCGGGAGCGGGCCCGCAAGCUGUCCCAGGGCAUCCUCAUCAUCAGGUUCGAGAUGCCCUUUAACAUCUGGUGCGACGGCUGCAAGAACCACAUCGGGAUGGGGGUGCGCUACAACGCGGAGAAGAAGAAGGUGGGCACCUACUACACCACCCCCAUCUACAGGUGGGUGCUUUGUCCCCGUCCCCCCACACCC